rnacentral:misc_RNA from 1 species
UGAAGCAGGGUCCAUCAACGCAUUCCUUUUAUCGCCUCGCCGUGUCUUAUCCCCAUUCUGCAGCUUAUACGUUCCUUCUGACCUCCUUUGUCUAGUUUUUUCUUCGUGGGAUAGCGCUCCAUGUUACCCUGGCAUCGUCGGACUCCCCUCCCUCCCUGCUCUUUCCCCUUGACAGCGCAUCCGCCCAGCGAGACCACACACACACACACAGGCCGAGCAGGAGCUAGCUGUGUUUUGACUUUCUUUCCUUUCUUCCUGGCUGCGUAGUCGUUGCUAUUGUCGCUGCGCGUUUUCGCCCCUCCUUACUUUCGCCCUUUCGUUCGGCUGCUGCGCCCCCCCCCUCUUCGUCCCUCCGCGUGGGCGCACGGAAACACGUUUCACUUGUGCCGAUGUUCCGAAUGAAGUCUCUGAAGCUUCUGGUGGUCAUCGGUCUGUCGCUGGCCCUCUGCUCCACUUUUUCCCUGGCUGCCGAAAAUGGUAAGAGGCUCUAUCCCGCGUGCGGAGUCAUAGAGCACACCACCUCGGCCAGCUCGCAGGUGACAUCAACCCUGCACAGCUUCUCGGGCCGCACGCACAGCUUGACAAUGACCUGCCUGGCGUACGAGGUUGUGUCUGUGAAAAACGAUCACACAGACAAGGACUACUGCCUUGUUGAGCACCAGACCGAGUACAUGUACGCCCUCACCAUCCACGCCGUCUACACCACGGGCAACGGCGCUACCGUGGAGCGCAAUUUCUCGAUUCGCGACAUGAGGGGCGGCUCCCUGACAGAGUUGAAAGUGGCAAUGCCCACUCGCAGUCAAUUCUCCGUCAUGUUCACCAACCUAGCGACAGACACCCGAUGCAACCUGCAAGUACGCGCACUCCUUUCGUACGAGAUGGCGGACAAGGCUAGGGUGGGGAACAACACACCGACUGUGGUAGCAGUGUCACCACGCACAGUAUACUCGAAGAGCGCCGAUCGAAGCGUUCUUGUGCUCGACCACGGCGUUGGUCAGGUGCCACAGAGCACCGAUAUUGUCUCGCUUGUCGACUUCUCGCAGGGUACGUGCGCGCAGCCGGAUGGCGACGUGCUCUACAUGGACUACUUCACCGCGAUACCCGACACAGUUCAUGUCUACGGCAACCGGGCCCAGUUCAGCGUGCGCGCCAUCACCUUCCACGAGCCUAACACAUACCGCGUGUGCUAUCGCGCGCAAAACAGCCACGUGGCGACGCAGAUAGGUGUCAUCACCGUGUAUGCCGGGAACCCGGCGUACUACGACGUCGUCGGUGGUGCCAACGAGAAGGGCGAGGUGCUGGUCGGCACUGAGACGACCAUCAAGUUCUAUGGCUACGGCCUUGACACCCGCAAGAACGGCGACGAAGCCAAGUUUGUGGAGUUCACGAAAGAGUGCGAUACGGGCAGACCCGCCGGUGGCGUCCCUCUUGCCGACGACUUGGAGCCAGAAGACAACUACGGACCGAAUACCACCUACUCCCUGUGGAAGUCGACCAUAACUGAGGGUGGCUCCUACAAGGUGUGCUACAAGCGCAAAGCAGCCAAUGCGUGGACCGAGGUGCCGUUCAUCGAGGACGUCGCCAUCGCUGAUAGGCCCGGGGAGUCCACCACCAAGGCGCCUGCUCCCACACCGACGCAUCCCUCCACACACGAGGAGUGUCCCAUGGCGACCGAAACGGUGGAGCGCCCGUGGUCCAAGUUUAAGAGUGCCAAGAUCGUGCUCACGACGAAGAAGCUGCCCAGCGACUUCCUGAGCACGCUGAGCAGCCUCCUCUGUCUGAGGCGGUCCAUGUUCACACUGGCGUACCUGAAGCACAACAGCGAGGGCAAACAAGUUGUCUUCCUGGUGCUGAACUGCGAGGAGAACGAGAACGCAGCGGUGCGCGAGUGCAGCUCGAUCGAGCGCCUCAAUUACUUUGUAUCCUUGUCGAAGAAGCAACUCGAGGACCACGGGAUCGAAUCGGUGCAGGGUAGCACCCACAUGCUGGCGUUCGACGAGGACGAGGGGAGCAGCGGCAAUGUAUUCGGGCUCAUUUUACUCUGUGUGAGCAUAUUGGCAGCAGGCGGCAUGGUAGUCUUCGCCGUGGGCCGCUAUAUGGAGCGGCGCCACCACUUUGUUCAGUUCGGCCUGGACGACGACGACAUUGACGACAUGUACGACUUCAACGCCGCACCGAGGUCUGCCAUGCGCAACGAGUACGAUGUGGCGCCUCAGGCAGAGCCGACAUGCAUCGUCAACUCUGUCAUCGAGAUUGAAGACUAGUGGGUGCACAGGGUCGAAGGGGGUAGCCUGGAGGCUCAUCGCUCACACCUGUCCCCUCUGCGCGCCUCUCUCCUAAGCAUCUCUUCGUUCUUUUCCUGGCUUAGGCACAGCGGCGUGGUGCACACGGAAGUGAACACAAAGUGCGUGUGUGUUCCCUUCAGCGCCGUUGCCGAUAUUAUCACGGCUGCUUCCAUCGCUCGCUUGCCCUCUCUCUAUGUGCCACGCGGCGCUCGGUCAGCAGCUCCUCCAGAGCUGACGCGGAUUAUGGGCGCACCUGGAGACUAGUGUGGGUCGUCUCCACCGCAACCGCUGCUGGUGUCAAUACCCCGGUUGCACCUGGCACUCUCUCUCUUCCUCCCCGGUACCUCUCCUCCCUUUAGGUGUUGUUUCUGUGCUCUCCCACCCUUUGUGCUUGGUGUGACCGCUUUUGCGGGGCCCUUCUUUGCUUCCCUUCCCCUCUCCUCCCUCCCUCCCGGACACACGCCCGCACUUCACAACGGCCGCAUCCAGCGCAGGUGCUGUGGGCAUAAGCCCACACACAACGGCCAUAGAUGAGAGGCAGUGAAGGCGCUAUAGAGGGCGGCUUGCUCGUGUGGGCAGUACGGAGGGCGUGUUUCGAUCAUGUACGUACUUGAACAUAAUGGGCACUGUUGCUGUCGCUCCCUUGCCCAUCUUCCGUAUUUUUCUUGCUGCUGUCUCUAGUUCACGCCGCCCUCAUGACGUGGGCACAAACACCUCCGCGCGUGGCAUCCCCGGGUCCGGUGUGUCCAGCUCGGUCUGGGUGGACGCCGAGCAGCCCCCUCUCCCCGCCCCCAUCCCGGCCGAAUGCCGAGCCACUUCUGGCGGUGCGCGUGCCAAGCGCCUACGACGUGGGCGAGUGAGAGCGAGUCGUCGCUGCGGAUGUCGGCGGGCGGGUCCUGGACGGCGUGGCGCCGGGGCGAGCGGCGGCAGUGAACGCGUUUGUGGUUCUCAUCGGAUAGGCAAAAAGUGUCCGCGCGACUCGAGCGUAUGCCACACCCGGCCCUCGCACCGCCUGCUGGUGUGGGGCGCCUGAGAGCCACCCUACGGUGCGCGGGGUGGGUGGGCGGCGCUUGAGGGCACGGGCCCUCCUCGGGCGACCGGGUCGGCGCACUGCUGCAACGCGUGUCUACCGGUGCUUCGCACCACGCGGAUGCGGCCUGCGACAGGGUCGGGGGUGGAGCGGCGUUGGACCUCACGUUGUGCGGCAGAGAAGUGGACGCGGUCACAAC